GGCAGCCCAGAUGCGGGCUGAGGUUUUCCUGCAGGGGCGAGAGUUUCCAGGAGGACAGGUCGCUGUCUGAGUUUCAGCGGCAGAAUAGUUAUUCCCCCAGGGAGGACAGACUCCAAAGGAGAAGACCUUGGCUUUUGUUUUGCGAGGCUGGGAAGGUAAAACGGUAGCAGAGUCGCCCCUGUGUCAGGCCAGCACGUUAUGGUGAGAACACCAAGAGGUCCUGGCACCUUCCCUCAAGCAUCCAGAUGUCCCGGCCUGGCUCGUAAGUGGGUUGGAAAGGCAGCGGUCAGCCAUUCGCUGCUGCUGCUCUCACAGGCACGCGGUAUGCCAUGCGGGACGGUCUUCCCGCACGAUGCGGAGUCCCCGCCUCUCACUGGCCUGAAGCCACAGGGUGGCUGUUUCUGAGGAGCCGGUCUCCAGUCUCCUCGGUGCGGAUGCCCCUGCCCCUCCGGGGGCACAUUCAAAGCUCAGAUUGCUUAAGGCAGUAAAUUCCCCUCCCUGGCCAUCCUGUCCCCUUCAGCAGCCCCUCGUAGGUUGUCUCAGCCCGAGAGCUUAGCAGCUCGGGCUUCGCAGGAGGCAGUGAGGCACAGCUGCUCUGAGGACCCCCCAUGCCCGGGAGCAGCCCUGUACGGGAGGCUGGUGCCGGCCCUGACUGUGCGGCCUAGAGACUGGGGUCGGGACAUCAGUUGCCAGCCCUGGGCCUGGCUCUGCGUGGGGAGCAGCGAGCUUGGGCCGCACCUGCUUUAGGACUCCUCGGUUCUGUACCCACCACGAGUAGGAACACACUGGCCAGGAAGAUUUUUGCUCGUGGAGCCCCAUGAAGCCGUUGCAAUGCUCUGCGCUUGGUUUUCAUGUUCUUCCAGUGCGGUGUGUUCGCCACCCCCUCGGCUGUGGUGUUACAGCAAACCCUGGGUAGUUCGGGCACAGGAAGCCCUCUAACUCGGAGGGGACCUCCCUUCCAAGAGGCCGGCAGUGCCCCCAGGAGGCUGGAGAGCGGAUCCCAGAGAGCAGGUGGGCUGGGCCUUCCUGGCCCAUGGCCAGAGGUGCACACACACUUACCUGCGUCUCCCUGAGCUGUGUGCUUUGGGGUGGGUGGCCUUGCCACCUGCCCUCCCUCCCCCACCCCCUCUGUGGAAGCUCAGCUCUGCGUAUGCUGGCCCCGCUGUCUGGGCCGAGGCCUGGCCUGGACAGGAGUGGCCGGUGCGAGUCUCCAGGGCCUGGAAAGGGGGGAAGGCCUUCCGGAGUGUGGCCCGCAGGUGCAGCUCACCCUCGUUUCCCAGGAGCUCUGAGCAGCCCCGUGCUUGCUGCAGACACCUGCUCUGACGCCAGGCUCUGCUGGAGGGACAAGGAUGACACCGCUGCCUCUGUUCUGCACCUUCGCCCUGGGGUGGGGGUGGGGUGAGGUCGGGUCGGGGUCCCGUCUACUCAGUAUCAACCCCCUUGCUUGUCCCAGGACGGUUUUCUGCGGUCCCUGAAGCUCCCUUACUGACCUGCAAGCGGCAGUUGAGAGAGAACAGUCCAGUCGGCUGGCGGGUGCGCGUGUUUAUCCCCAGCCCCACCUGUGUGGGCUGCCUGGGGACCUGGAUGGCGUGACCGUGCUACAUUCUGCUCCCGUGGCCGUCCUCCUCCUGCCGCACGUCCUGCUGUGCCUCUGCUCGUCUCCGUGCAGCCCAGCACGGCCGGAGUAGAGCCGGCUCUCCCCAAGAGCACCCCUGCCCCGGCCACUAGCUUUCCCAGGGGCUCCCGCCACCCCGAGGGAGGUCACUUCUGCAGACCGUUGCCCACAGCCCGUUGUGGGGCCUCUGGUCUCCCGUCCCUCUGUAAGGCUGCUGUCUCAGUGGGGGGCGGCGCCCCGGGAUCGGAGGGCGCCCGGCUUGGCCGUGAGCUCAUGGUGGCGUCCACGGGAGCUUCACGCUCCCACAGGCAUCCCCGGGGAGCAGAGAACAGCGUGGCCAGCCAGCUUGCGUGUCCCGGGUGCCUCCGUGCGAUGUGCUCGUCACGUGGGCGGCAGGAGCAGCUCUUUAACCUUCUUCGUUGACAGAACUUCGUUUGUAAAUCUUUUUUGCCUUCUUACCCAGCUCAGUUGUGAACUUUAUAGUUUACUCAUCUGGAAAUCACGCCAUUCAUUGAUCUCUGCCCUUGAUUCUAAAACCAUUAGAGGGAAAAAACCACAGGGCCGGCUUCGAAAGGCGUUCGUUCCUCAGACCGUUCAGUAGGUUGGUUAGUUAGGUGUGCGUUGCGUCAGAUCGCUGACUUUCUCUUCUUUGGGUUCUCUUCAUCUCCCCUGGGCAGUUCCCAUUUGAAAGUCAUUUUACAAAACCGAGCAGCGAAACCACGCCCACACACACACUCCCGCUCUGCUUAACGGCAGGGUCGCUCGGCAGGGUCCCUCUCCGGUAGAACAGAGCCGGGAACAGGAGCCCCAAGGGCGGCUUUCUGCAGGAGCUAGCCAGCGAUGGCUGCCACUGUCGUUCGUGCUGUUCAAGAGUAAAUGCAAACCGUGUGUGUUGAGUGUGUGGUUUUAGGUGUUCCUUCUGAACUGAAAUUGGAAAACGAGCUCAGUGUCUAGAAUUUUCUUGGUACACGUGUGAAUUGCUGGGUUUGUUCUCACUAAUUCAGUGCCUCUGGCUGUGUGAAUUGUUUUUUUGUUUUGUUUUUAAAGAUUUUAUUUAUUUGGCAGACAGAGAUCACAAGCAGGCAGAGAGACAAGCAGAGACAGAGGGGGAGGCAGGCUCCCUGCCGAGCAGAAAUCCUGAUGUGGGGCAUGGUCACAGGACCCCGGAAUCAUGACCCGAGCCGAAGGCUGAGGCUUUAACCUGCUGAGCCACCCAGGCACCCCGGCUGUGUGAAUUUUAAAUUUAUAUUUCAACAAUCACGGAGCCAAGGUAGAGGCAGCCAGGAGGCCACUAGAAGCAGCUGUGUGGCCCUCCAGGGUGCUGUGCUGGGGAGCGCCAGGAGGGGGAGUUUCCCAGUUGGGAGAGCUGGGGUUUGUGCUUUCGGACUCACCACGGAGUGUCUGUGGUGUGUUAAGCUAUAAACAAGGAAGCCGUGGCCGGAGGGUCCCUGGCUGCUGUCUGGCUGCUGAGAUGGGGCCCACGAUGGUGCAUCAGAGUCAGGCUGAGGCAUGGGAUUCUAAGCCCAGAGUAGGUGACUGUGCCUCACAGUGCACUUGUCACUUCAGCAUCCCACCUGGCAUGUCUGAGUUUCUCUGUGGCCUUUGGGCCAGGGGAGACCCACAGCCUGUGCCCGUCGUGCGGUAGUUGGUGGGACUCUGUGGGAAGGGGCAAGGAAAGGUGUAGGAAGUGGGAGCUGCCUGGGGGACACCUGGUGCGCUUGCUUAGCUGGUGGCCCAAGGCCCUGGGCUGUCCUGUGUUAAUAAUUGCCAUUCACUGUGUGCUGAAGGCAUUUGUCUGGAGAAGAAAAUGCGACUUCAGACAGGCUAUGACUGGCAGUCGAGACAAGAGUGUCUGGGAUAGGGCUGUCUCCCACAGUCACCCCACCACCACCACCCCAGAAUAUAUCUGUGACUCCCGCCGUGACGUCAUACUCAGACUGGCCCUUGGCUGUCCUGUCUCCACUGCACUUGGACCUUCACACUUGACCCCCUUUUUUUCUCCCCAGAGAAGGAGCCGGUCCUCUUCCACGGCUCCACCUUCCCUCACCCCAGCCCCACCCCAUUCGUCAAGUUCUGCAGGGGACGGUUCUCACUCCACCCCGGGCCUAGAAUGCAGCCGGAUCAGGGUGGAGUGUGGCCGAGUCCCUUCUGCCCAGUUGGCGAGGUUUCACACACGUGCCACACCAGCCACUGCCUUCAUAAUCAGGCCUCAGAGCUCAGGCAGCCUGGUUCCGGCCCACAUUCUUACUCUGUCGAAAGAUUAGGUUACAGCAGGGACCCUGGGCCAACUUCAGGAGACUCAGUCUAGGUAGCAAGAGACAGUGCCUUCCUGAGGCAGCUGGAGGCCGGGGACGGGGGUCCUGGGCCUUGCCACGCAGGAGCAGAACAGGUGUGGAGUGGGACCUUAGAAUGGAACAUCCAAAAGGUGAGUGAGCCGAGGGCAGGCGGAAAGGGCUGUUCGCUAGGACUCCGUGCCCUCUGGGGAUGACAGAGAAGGCCGAGCCGCCAGGGACUCUGUCGGGCUAGCUGGGAAGGCGACAGCCUGCAAAGGCCCGGCAGGACCGCAGGACCGACCAUCACUCCUUGUUCACAGCGGCUGCUCCCGGGCCCUGCCGGCCGGAGCACAGGGAGAGUCCCUCAGACCCGACCCCGUUGCCCGCCUGCCUGCUUGCUCCUUGGCCUGGCCGUGCGCUGCCCGUGGGCACCGGGCGCUGACGGGGCUAUGGCGGGAGGCAUCCCUUCCGCCAUGGCUUGUUCUGAGAAAGAGGUUUGAGUGAGAGAGCCAUCAGCAGGAGACGUUCAGCAGAGAUCAUAGCUGCUGCAACCCAGAAGGAAAUCCGAAACCUUCAUCUUUUAUCAGUCUAUGUUUUUUAAAAGUUCACUCAUUAAUUUCCCUAUGUAGGUUUAAUUUUUGUUUCCCUCAGGAAGAUAGCGUCCGGUUUGAAGCACAGCAGACUGACUGACUUGAUUUUAUUUAUUUAUUUAUUUUUUU